rnacentral:rRNA from 1 species
ACACACGGCGGGUGCUAACGUCCGUCGUGAAGAGGGAAACAACCCAGACCGCCAGCUAAGGUCCCAAAGUCAUGGUUAAGUGGGAAACGAUGUGGGAAGGCCCAGACAGCCAGGAUGUUGGCUUAGAAGCAGCCAUCAUUUAAAGAAAGCGUAAUAGCUCACUGGUCGAGUCGGCCUGCGCGGAAGAUGUAACGGGGCUAAACCAUGCACCGAAGCUGCGGCAGCGACACUAUGUGUUGUUGGGUAGGGGAGCGUUCUGUAAGCCUGUGAAGGUGUGCUGUGAGGCAUGCUGGAGGUAUCAGAAGUGCGAAUGCUGACAUAAGUAACGAUAAAGCGGGUGAAAAGCCCGCUCGCCGGAAGACCAAGGGUUCCUGUCCAACGUUAAUCGGGGCAGGGUGAGUCGACCCCUAAGGCGAGGCCGAAAGGCGUAGUCGAUGGGAAACAGGUUAAUAUUCCUGUACUUGGUGUUACUGCGAAGGGGGGACGGAGAAGGCUAUGUUGGCCGGGCGACGGUUGUCCCGGUUUAAGCGUGUAGGCUGGUUUUCCAGGCAAAUCCGGAAAAUCAAGGCUGAGGCGUGAUGACGAGGCACUACGGUGCUGAAGCAACAAAUGCCCUGCUUCCAGGAAAAGCCUCUAAGCAUCAGGUAACAU